GGUGGUUUUAGCGAGAGCGAAACACCCGAUCCCAUCCCGAACUCGGACGUGAAACCUCUCAGCGCCUAUGAUACUGCGUCUUAAGGCGUGGGAAAGUCGGUCACUGCCA
rnacentral:rRNA from 1 species